rnacentral:misc_RNA from 1 species
CGGCAAUCAUGUGCACAGCACUAGUACUAGUACAGUACACCACCGGUCGGCUGUGUUUUGCGCCGAGCACCCUGAUCGAUCGAAGAGGCCGCGCGCGCGCGUGCUAUGUACAGUACAGACGGCGGAGAGAGAGAGCAGCUCAGGCGCAGAGGGCGCCGAGCUCCCGGAGCCGGGGCACGAGGCGGCCGCUGAGGUGGAGCCGCAUGAGGCCCUCGAGGCCGCCGACGGGGUCGCCGCCUACGAAGAGCGCCGGGACGCCGCCGCCCUCGGCCGCCGCCAGCUCUUCCUCCUCCUCCUCGGCGCUGCCUAGCUCGAUGACGGUGGCGUGCGCGCCCACGGCCGCCAGCAGCCGCCGCAUCACGUGCGCCAUGCAGCAGCCGCGCCGCGCGAAGAUCACCACGGGGCUCUCCCGGACCAGCCGCCCCACGCGCGCCGCGGGGGCCUCCUCCUCCCCCGCCGGGUCGAUGGUCAGCCCGCGCCGCCGGAUGCCCACCGCCUGCAUGCUCUCGACCUGGACCACCCACCCACCCACCCACC